AAGCACUCGGAUUACUUGUGUCACAUAGAAUUUAGGAUUGAUAGUAUGCACAUUGGGAAGCAGGCUGAGAUCUGACAAACGCCACUUCCUCAAUGACAUCAUCCUCUAGGAAGUGACAUCAUAUUGGAGGGUAAACCACAAUGGCAUUUCUUGGUUUGUCAGUGAACAAUAUAUCUGUCUGAUAAAGCCAUGUAAAUCGGUAUAAUUAUAUUUCAAAUGAACUUAAUGCUUGAAAUGCUGUAAACUCUUGUAUGUAAACUAACUCCAAUCAAUCAAUUAGCCCUGUUCGGAUGAUUUGUCUUUAUGUCAUAUGCAUGCAUAGCAUAUAAAAACGGCGUUUUGUCGAUAAAUUUAGUUCUAAGAUAAGUUUAUUUUUAUUUUGUCCUAUCUCUGUAGCGCCAUACGCAGAUUGAGGCAGUACAACAAACUACCACUAGAGGGCAGAACAUGAUGCAUGUUGUGUCUAAACGAACAAAAGUUUGGCCUCUGGCUCCUGCAGGGCCCCCAAGCGAGCACUUUUUUGGGGUUCACAGUGUGGUGACCUCUGAGGAGAUGCAGUAACGUCCUGAACUCUUCAGCAUCAAAGAGAUCUGCGGGGGGCGGAGCUGAUACAGAACGCAUCACAAUGCCGGUCCACCUACACUCUCCCGCUCCUGUUCCUCACUUUCCUCAAGUUUGCAGCAGUGAUUCUUUGCAUUUCUUUAGGAUAAAAGCAGCACGAUAUCAGGCAGCGGUCAAAGAGCAGGUCUACUUUCCCUCGUUCUCCCCCUCUCUUGUUUUCUGCCUCUGGCAAAUCAUUCCCUCUCCUCUCCUCUUCUCUUCUUUUCUCUUUUUUUUUUCUCUUUCUCUGUUCUUGUUGGGCUGUAAUUUAUGAUGUUGCAGCAGCACAAAUGAGAUGAAGCUUUUAUAACAGACGCCUGCUGACACACUUUAGCUCCCCUCUCUCUGUUAGGGAAAGUUAUUGGGCUUGUUAGUAACGGUCAUAAAAAGCUCGGGGCCGUUCACACUGUGCUUGUCAUGAUGUAGUUUAGUUAAUGUCAUUGUUUCAAGAGGGUGAAGUUAAUAAAUCACUAACUUCUCAAUGUGCUG
ensembl:lncRNA